AAAUAUUUGGAAUUGAUCCAAUAAUUGAGUUUGCAAUAGUGUGUAAGCUACUUAUUAUUUAAGAGUGAGACCCAUCUCUCAACAUUUACACUUCAUAUCUCAAAAAUUGUGUUUGAUACAUUUGAAAAUGGCUCUUAGUGGUAAAGUGAGUAUUGAAUUUGGAAUCAAAGCAACUAUUUCUCAAUGGUUCAAUCUCUUCCAUAAGAAUCUGAACCAAGUUCAAAACAUUUGUGAAAGAAUUCCUGAAGCUAAUGUGCAUCAAGGUGAUUGGCAUACCAUUGGUUCAGUUAAGAACUGGACUUUCAUCAUAGGUAAUUAAAUUAAUUCAGCUUCUAAUUAUAUUGAUUUAUUAAUUUUAUGUUGAAUUUGGUUCAAAUUAUUAGAUUAUAUGAAUGCCCAAAAUUGUAGCUUCAGAAAAUUAUGUUUAUUUAGACCCAAAAAAGGUAUGGGGCUAUGUUAUAUUUUUGUCAAUAUAAAAUUAUGCUAAUUUAGACUUUCAACCAAUGUUAUAAAAACCUAUUCGUACCGCCGUUUCAACCGGUAAAUCGGUUCCGAUAUUGGUACAAUAUAGUAAUUAUACUGAUCAUAUAAUCAUACCGGUUAAAAUUGAUCAUACUGGUCGGUUUUCGGUUGAACUGUAUCGGUCAUAUCGCCCCG
rnacentral:lncRNA from 1 species